UCAGGACGAACGCUGGCGGCGUGCCUAACACAUGCAAGUCGAGCGAGAUGAUCCCUUCGGGGAGAUUCUAGCGGCGGACGGGUGAGUAACACGUGGGUAACCUGCCUCAAAGAGGGGGGAUAGCCUCCCGAAAGGGAGAUUAAUACCGCAUAACAUUAUUUUUCUCGCAUGAGAAGAUAAUCAAAGGAGCAAUCCGCUUUGAGAUGGACCCGCGGCGCAUUAGCUAGUUGGUGAGGUAACGGCUCACCAAGGCGACGAUGCGUAGCCGACCUGAGAGGGUGAUCGGCCACAUUGGAACUGAGACACGGUCCAGACUCCUACGGGAGGCAGCAGUGGGGAAUAUUGCGCAAUGGGGGAAACCCUGACGCAAGCAACGCCGCGUGAGUGAUGAAGGUCUUCGGAUUGUAAAGCUCUGUCUUUGGGGACGAUAAUGACGGUACCCAAGGAGGAAGCCACGGCUAACUACGUGCCAGCCGCAGC
rnacentral:rRNA from 1 species